rnacentral:rRNA from 1 species
UACGGAGGGUGCAAGCGUUAUCCGGAUUCACUGGGCUUAAAGGGUGCGUAGGCGGUCAGGUAAGUCAGUGGUGAAAUCUCCGAGCUUAACUCGGAAACUGCCUUUGAUACUCUCUGUCUUGAAUAUGGUGGAGGUAAGCGGAAUAUGUCAUGUAGCGGUGAAAUGCUUAGAGAUGACAUAGAACACCUAUUGCGAAGGCAGCUUACUAGGCCUAUAUUGACGCUGAGGCACGAAAGCGUGGGGAUCAAACAGG